AUUGAACGCUGGCGGCAUGCCUAACACAUGCAAGUCGAGCGGCUGCAGGGGUCUUGCUCCUUGAUUCAGCGGCGGACGGGUGAGUGAAGCCUAGGAAUCUGCCUGCUGGAGGGGGGUAACGUCCGGCGACGGGCGCUAAUAUCGCACAUGUGCUGAGGGAGAAAGAGGGGGAUCUUCGGAGCCCACGCUAUCAGAUGAGCCUAGGUCGGAUUAGCUAGUUGGUGGGGUAAAGGCUUACCAAGGCGACGAUCUGUGACUGGUCUGAGAGGAUGAUCAGUCAAACUGGAACUGGGCCACGGUCCAGACUCCUACGGGAGGCAGAAGGGGGGAAUUUUGGACAAUGGGCGAAAGCCUGAUCCAGCCAUGCCGCGGGUGUGAGAAAGGUCUUCGGAUUGUAAGGCACUUUGAGUGGGGAGAAAGGCCUGUAAGUAAAAACCUUGCUGUUUUGCCGUUACCAAAAGAAUAAGCCCCGGCUAACUUCGUG
rnacentral:rRNA from 1 species